AUUGAACGCUGGCGGCAGGCCUAACACAUGCAAGUCGAGCGAGCGGCGGACGGGUGAGUAAUGUCUGGGAAACUGACUGAUGGAGGGGGAUAACUACUGGAAACGGUAGCUAAUACCGCAUACCAUCAGAUGUGACAAGAUGGGAUUAGCUGGUAGGUGGGGUAACGGAUCACCUACGCGACGAUCCCUAGCUGGUCUGUGAGGAUGACCCGCCACACUGGAAUUGAGACACGGUCCAGACUCCUACGGGAGGCAGCAGUGGGGAAUAUUGCACAAUGGGCGCAAGCAUUCUGCAGCCAUGCCGCGUGUGUGAAGAAGGCCUUCGGGUUGUAAAGCACUUUCAGCGGGGAGGCGUUACCCGCAGAAGAAGCACCGGCUAACUCCGUGCCAGCAGCCGCGGUAAUUC
rnacentral:rRNA from 1 species